GUGGGGAAUAUUGCGCAAUGGGCGAAAGCCUGACGCAGCAACGCCGCGUGAGUGACGAAGGCCUUCGGGUUGUAAAGCUCUGUCUUCCGGGACGAAGACUUUUAGGUUAACAGCCUAAAAGAUGACGGUACCGGAAGAGGAAGCCCCGGCUAACUACGUGCCAGCAGCCGCGGUAAAACGUAGGGGGCGAGCGUUGUCCGGAAUUACUGGGCGUAAAGCGCGUGUAGGCGGAAACUUAAGUCAGAUGUGAAAACUCGGGGCUCAACCCCGAGCCGGCAUCUGAAACUGGGUGUCUUGAGGAUGGGAGAGGAAAGUGGAAUUCCUAGUGUAGCGGUGAAAUGCGUAGAUAUUAGGAGGAACACCAGUGGCGAAGGCGACUUUCUGGACCAUGCCUGACGCUGAGACGCGAAAGCGUGGGGAGCAAACAGGAUUAGAUACCCCAGUAGUCC
rnacentral:rRNA from 1 species